rnacentral:rRNA from 1 species
AUUGAACGCUGGCGGCAGGCCUAACACAUGCAAGUCGAACGAGUGGCGGACGGGUGAGUAAUGUAUGGGAAUCUGCCCGAUGGAGGGGGAUAACUACUGGAAACGGUAGCUAAUACCGCAUACUAUCAGAUGUGCCCAUAUGGGAUUAGCUUGUUGGUGGGGUAACGGCUCACCAAGGCGAUGAUCCCUAGCUGGUCUGAGAGGAUGACCAGCCACACUGGAACUGAGACACGGUCCAGACUCCGACGGGAGGCAGCAGUGGGGAAUAUUGCACAAUGGGCGCAAGCCUGAUGCAGCCAUGCCGCGUGUAUGAAGAAGGCCUUAGGGUUGUAAAGUACUUUCAGCGGGGAGGCGUUACCCGCAGAAGAAGCACCGGCUAACUCCGUGCCAGCAGCCGCGGUAAUUC